rnacentral:rRNA from 1 species
AUGCGGGCAGCUUACCUGAGUCUUGAUAACAAGGAUGCAUAUUCUUUGCUGCAGUGUGACAUUAGAUUUAUAUUUCAGCUGUUGUACACCAAACUUGGGACAGCCACCAGUUUGGCUGGCAUCUUGCCACUGAUUUUGCUGCCGUUCCUCAUCUUAGCUUCCCUGGCGCUCUUCGCCAUGAGCCACAAAGAUGACUACGAUGACCAGGACAUCAGGGUGACAUACAUCCUGCUCUGUUGCACUGCUCUGCAGGAACUCUUGCUGACACUGUCAUUCUUGUGUGCACCUUGCCGUAAGGCGUAUUCAGGCGCAUGGCACAACAUGGUUUCUCAGUACAACCUCAUGUCCUUUUGUGCUCGCAAGAAGCAGCCCACCAUUCUGAUGAAGCUUGCUAUCUUCGAUUGUCUGAGGGAUUACCUUAACAAGAAUUGGUACAUUGGGCAGGAACCUGCAGCUGAGCGGAUUACCGAGUUGGUCCGCAAGCACGUGAAAGAUGGAUGGAAGAAUUACAUACGCUGCGACGCCGCAAGAUACAGGAGAUUCAACGAUUUCAGGGGCCAGAGGGCCCUGAGGAGGCACCGUCGUCUGCUGGGGUGGAGUCUGAGGAAGACGUUCGAUGAGAGCAUUGUUCUCUGGCACAUCGCCACCGACCUCUGCUUUCACGACCCCAACAGCCCCCCUCAAGGACAAGGAGACGUUAAUCGAAGUGGUACUGCUAGGGAGAUAUUAAAUUACAUGAUGUACCUGCUUUCCACUCACCCUGAGAUGCUCAUGCCCGGCACCAGACCGGUUCUCUUCGCCGCCGCUAUCAGUAGCAUCGAGCGUAUCUUGAUGGAUACCCAGGAACCACUCCACAGUGAAGAAAAUAUCGCACGGAGUAUUGUCAGCAUGGUUGCAGAACAUCCAUCCACAUGGUAUAAUCCUAGUUUGAUUGACAACGCAUGCAGCAUUGCUAGGGCACUGAUGGAGUUGGAAGACAGUGAGAGGUGGAAGGUAAUCCAAGGGGUGUGGGUGGAAAUGCUGUGCUAUUCCGCCAGCAAAUGCAGGGGCUACCUGCACGCCAAGAGCCUGGGUGAAGGUGGUGAGUACCUCACCACUGUUUGGCUCCACUGGUCAUUAAUGGGGAUGGAGACCUUGGCCGAUAGGCUUCAAAGGCCAGAGCCUCUGCUAGAAGACGAUGAAGAAGUACAAGAACAAGAAGGGAGGGAAAUAGGAGUAGUAGAAGAAGAAGAUGAUGAUGAAGAAGAAAAUGGACGCUCAUUGUCUUCCUCCCAAUCCAUAGUCGGAGGGGAUCAAUCUGGAGCUGUUCGCCUGGUCGUAGUGAAUAUGCUAAGAAUGUGGAGAUGUUUUUUCGGAGUUUGA